rnacentral:rRNA from 2 species
AAUACGACUCUCGGCAACGGAUAUCUCGGCUCUCGCAUCGAUGAAGAACGUAGCGAAAUGCGAUACUUGGUGUGAAUUGCAGAAUCCCGUGAACCAUCGAGUCUUUGAACGCAAGUUGCGCCCCAAGCCGUUGUAACGGUUUGGGGCACGUCUGCCUGGGUGUCACGC